rnacentral:rRNA from 1 species
CCUACGGGUGGCUGCAGUGAGGAAUAUUGGUCAAUGGGCGCGAGCCUGAACCAGCCAAGUCGCGUGAGGGAAGACGGCCCUACGGGUUGUAAACCUCUUUUGCCGGGGAGCAACGGGCGCCACGUGUGGCGCCACUGAGAGUACCCGGAGAAAAAGCAUCGGCUAACUCCGGGACAGCAGCCGCGGUAAUACGGGGGAUGCGAGCGUUAUCCGGAUUUAUUGGGUUUAAAGGGUGCGUAGGCGGAGCGUUAAGUCAGUGGUCAAAUUGAGGGGCUCAACCCCUGCCCGCCAGUGAAACUGGCGCUCUUGAGGGGAAGAGAAGUAUGCGGAAGGCGUGGUGUAGCGGUGAAAUGCAUAGAGAUCACGCAGAACCCCGAUUGCGAAGGCAGCAUGCCGGCUUCCUACUGACGCUGAAGCACGAAAGCGUGGGGAUCGAACAGGAUUAGAUACCCGAGUAGUC